GGGGUUGUAGCUCAGUGGUAGAGCACUCACCUAGCAUGUGUGAGGCACUGGAUUAGAUUCUCAGCACCA
rnacentral:tRNA from 1 species